AGCACGGCGCCAUAAGUUGUGUUCAUCGUUGCGCUUUUCUUUAAUUUUCGACUUGAUACUGAGCGAGCUAAGGUACAAUUUUAGUGUUUCAGUUACAGUAUGGAGACAAGAAAAAAAAAAACUGAGUCAAAGAAAAAAAACGUUUGAUUGCAAAAAGAGUGCCAGUGAAAAGGCUGGCGAGUAUAGCAAUGUGAGUGAGCCACAAUCAAGCUCGUCAACUAAAAGAAAAUAUGACGAGAGUGACGAGACUGUACGGGGUAUAACAACCAUAGGAAAGCAAAGACCACGUCGUAAAAACAUCUAUCAAGUGCGGAAUGCUCCUACUGCCCAGCUAACAAUUGUAAAGCUAAAAGCAACAAAGUGCAGAGAAUACGCUGCAAAAUUAGUGAUAGAUGACCUGAAAAUGGAACGAGACUUCCUUCGCAAACAGCUUGAAUGCUCUACGUCCACAGAUAAACCUGGGAAGAAGAAUAGAAGGGAUUAUUUUACAGUAAUCAGCUCAGAUGACAUCAGUUCUUCAAGUGAAGAAUCCAGUGUUUCAAGUGAAGAAGAUGAAAGUGAUGGAUCUAGUGAUGUAAAACGCAACAAGAAGUCAAGUAAAUGCAAAAAAGGCAAGAAACAAGCAAAAUCGAAAAAGGAAGUACUGAGGCAAAGGGGUAGGUAUCUAAUGUUAUAAAUAAAUUGUACAUUGAGUGGAUAGAAUGGGGUUUAAGGUUCACAAGAAAUAUCAUUGCUUGUGUAGGGAUGCAUAACAGAAAAUAUAUGCAUGUACUCACAAAAUGUACUAUUCAAAAACAUAUUCCUUUUGUACAUGAAUAUGGACAUAUGCAUUGUUUGAUGCUUAUCAAAUAUUUUGUGUAUUGCUACAACUGUGUGCUACUUUAAGGUGUGUGUAUAGUUUUUUUUUUUUUUUUUUUUUUUUUAUCUUGAUCACUUUUAAAUAGCAGGCCUCUCUGUCUCUGUAUAUGAAAUAGCUCCAAGAUGGCUUCAUGUAUUUCUCAGAACUAUAUUUCAAAUCAUUCUUCCACCCACUGAUAAGUCUAUGUAGUUCUGAAAAAUACAUGCAAAGCCACCUUGAAAACAACAAUAUAAGGCUGCAAUUAAAAGUUUCAAAAAGUGGUUGAGAUGUAAAACAAAAAUAAAACCAUACACCUUACUUAAACACUUGUAGCAACACAUGGCUAUAAGAAUGACCAUACAUGUGUUAAAAAUGUUAAAUGUUAACCGUUAUAAAAAAAAAUAAAUAAAAAAAAAAACACUAUCAAAGGCAUAUGUUCAAGUGUUGCUUUUUCAGAUGCACACUAUCGUUUCCAAUAUCUAGGAUGACCAUAGGUACAUCACAGUAAAAGUAUUUUUGAAAUGUUGUUUUUAUACGGUUUUAAAAGUGAAAUCGAGUGAAUGAGUAAUCGAUAAGAUGUUUUCAUUGGUGGGUUUCAAAGUUUGACAAAGUUGGUUUUGCUUGAUGUUCUAAUUG